rnacentral:rRNA from 1 species
AUUGAACGCUGGCGGCAUGCCUUGCACAUGCAAGUCGAACGGUAACAGGUCUUCGGAUGCUGACGAGUGGCGAACGGGUGAGUAAUACAUCGGAACGUGCCUAGUAGUGGGGGAUAACUACUCGAAAGAGUGGCUAAUACCGCAUGAGAUCUACGGAUGAAAGCAGGGGAUCGCAAGACCCUGUGCUACUAGAGCGGCCGAUGGCAGAUUAGGUAGUUGGUGGGAUAAAAGCUUACCAAGCCGACGAUCUGUAGCUGGUCUGAGAGGACGAUCAGCCACACUGGGACUGAGACACGGCCCAGACUCCUACGGGAGGCAGCAGUGGGGAAUUUUGGACAAUGGGCGCAAGCCUGAUCCAGCAAUGCCGCGUGCAGGAUGAAGGCCUUCGGGUUGUAAACUGCUUUUGUACGGAACGAAAAGCCCUGGGUUAAUACCCUGGGGUCAUGACGGUACCGUAAGAAUAAGCACCGGCUAACUACGUGCCAGCCGCCGCAGUAAAAC